rnacentral:rRNA from 1 species
UGGGGAAUUUUGGACAAUGGGCGAAAGCCUGAUCCAGCAAUGCCGCGUGUGUGAAGAAGGCCUUCGGGUUGUAAAGCACUUUUGUCCGGAAAGAAAUCCUUGGCUCUAAUACAGUCGGGGGAUGACGGUACCGGAAGAAUAAGCACCGGCUAACUACGUGCCAGCAGCCGCGGUAAUACGUAGGGUGCAAGCGUUAAUCGGAAUUACUGGGCGUAAAGCGUGCGCAGGCGGUUUGCUAAGACCGAUGUGAAAUCCCCGGGCUCAACCUGGGAACUGCAUUGGUGACUGGCAGGCUAGAGUAUGGCAGAGGGGGGUAGAAUUCCACGUGUAGCAGUGAAAUGCGUAGAGAUGUGGAGGAAUACCGAUGGCGAAGGCAGCCCCCUGGGCCAAUACUGACGCUCAUGCACGAAAGCGUGGGGAGCAAACAGGAUUAGAUACCCUGGUAGUCCACGCCCUAAACGAUGUCAACUAGUUGUUGGGGAUUCAUCUCCUUAGUAACGUAGCUAACGCGUGAAGUUGACCGCCUGGGGAGUACGGUCGCAAGAUUAAAACUCAAAUGAAUUGACGGGGUCAUAGCUGUUUCCU